rnacentral:lncRNA from 1 species
UCUUACCACAUGCACAAAUCUUCUUCCCUCUUUAAUUACAAACAAACACACAAAUCCCUCCGCAAUACACACACACACACACUUGUGCAUACAUAUCUUUUUCACUUGUUCAGCAUUCUUUAACUUGUUCCCCUGCAGUUGGAACACAACAUAAAUCUCCAAAUAUAUAAACUAAGCUUUAUGGCUACAUCCAGAAGCUACCAUCUUUUCAUGGUCAGGCUUGUAAUCACAGUUCUCAUGAUCCUCAUC